AGAACGAACGCUGGCGGCAGGCCUAACACAUGCAAGUCGAACGGAUGUAGCAAUACAUCAGUGGCAGACGGGUGAGUAACGCGUGGGAAUCUCCCCAGAGGUACGGAACAACUCAGGGAAACUUGAGCUAAUACCGUAUGUGCCCGAGAGGGCAAAGAUUUAUCGCUCUGGAUGAGCCCGCGUUGGAUUAGCUAGUUGGUGGGUAACGCUACAAGGCUACGAUCCAUAGCUGAUC
rnacentral:rRNA from 1 species